GACGAACGCUGGCGGCGUGCUUAACACAUGCCAGUCGAACGGAAAGGCCCUGCUUUUGUGGGGUGCUCGAGUGGCGAACGGGUGAGUAACACGUGAGUAACCUGCCCUUGACUUUGGGAUAACUUCAGGAAACUGGGGCUAAUACCGGAUAGGAGCUCCUGCUGCAUGGUGGGGGUUGGAAAGUUUCGGCGGUUGGGGAUGGACUCGCGGCUUAUCAGCUUGUUGGUGGGGUAGUGGCUUACCAAGGCUUUGACGGGUAGCCGGCCUGAGAGGGUGACCGGCCACAUUGGGACUAAGGUACGGCCCAGACUCCAACGGGAGGCAGCAGUGGGGAAUAUUGCACAAUGGGCGGAAGCCUGAUGCAGCAACGCCGCGUGCGGGAUGACGGCCUUCGGGUUGUAAACCGCUUUCGCCUGUGACGAAGCGUGAGUGACGGUAAUGGGUAAAGAAGCACCGGCUAACUACGUG
rnacentral:rRNA from 1 species